rnacentral:rRNA from 1 species
CUGGAGGUAUCAGAAGUGCGAAUGCUGACAUAAGUAACGAUAAAGCGGGUGAAAAGCCCGCUCGCCGGAAGACCAAGGGUUCCUGUCCAACGUUAAUCGGGGCAGGGUGAGUCGACCCCUAAGGCGAGGCCGAAAGGCGUAGUCGAUGGGAAACAGGUUAAUAUUCCUGUACUUGGUGUUACUGCGAAGGGGGGACGGAGAAGGCUAUGUUGGCCGGGCGACGGUUGUCCCGGUUUAAGCGUGUAGGCUGGUUUUCCAGGCAAAUCCGGAAAAUCAAGGCUGAGGCGUGAUGACGAGGCACUACGGUGCUGAAGCAACAAAUGCCCUGCUUCCAGGAAAAGCCUCUAAGCAUCAGGUAACAUCAAAUCGUACCCCAAACCGACACAGGUGGUCAGGUAGAGAAUACCAAGGCGCUUGAGAGAACUCGGGUGAAGGAACUAGGCAAAAUGGUGCCGUAACUUCGGGAGAAGGCACGCUGAUAUGUAGGUGAAGUCCCUCGCGGAUGGAGCUGAAAUCAGUCGAAGAUACCAGCUGGCUGCAACUGUUUAUUAAAAACACAGCACUGUGCAAACACGAAAGUGGACGUAUACGGUGUGACGCCUGCCCGGUGCCGGAAGGUUAAUUGAUGGGGUUAGCGCAAGCGAAGCUCUUGAUCGAAGCCCCGGUAAACGGCGGCCGUAACUAUAACGGUCCUAAGGUAGCGAAAUUCCUUGUCGGGUAAGUUCCGACCUGCACGAAUGGCGUAAUGAUGGCCAGGCUGUCUCCACCCGAGACUCAGUGAAAUUGAACUCGCUGUGAAGAUGCAGUGUACCCGCGGCAAGACGGAAAGACCCCGUGAACCUUUACUAUAGCUUGACACUGAACAUUGAGCCUUGAUGUGUAGGAUAGGUGGGAGGCUUUGAAGUGUGGACGCCAGUCUGCAUGGAGCCGACCUUGAAAUACCACCCUUUAAUGUUUGAUGUUCUAACGUUGACCCGUAAUCCGGGUUGCGGACAGUGUCUGGUGGGUAGUUUGACUGGGGCGGUCUCCUCCUAAAGAGUAACGGAGGAGCACGAAGGUUGGCUAAUCCUGGUCGGACAUCAGGAGGUUAGUGCAAUGGCAUAAGCCAGCUUGACUGCGAGCGUGACGGCGCGAGCAGGUGCGAAAGCAGGUCAUAGUGAUCCGGUGGUUCUGAAUGGAAGGGCCAUCGCUCAACGGAUAAAAGGUACUCCGGGGAUAACAGGCUGAUACCGCCCAAGAGUUCAUAUCGACGGCGGUGUUUGGCACCUCGAUGUCGGCUCAUCACAUCCUGGGGCUGAAGUAGGUCCCAAGGGUAUGGCUGUUCGCCAUUUAAAGUGGUACGCGAGCUGGGUUUAGAACGUCGUGAGACAGUUCGGUCCCUAUCUGCCGUGGGCGCUGGAGAACUGAGGGGGGCUGCUCCUAGUACGAGAGGACCGGAGUGGACGCAUCACUGGUGUUCGGGUUGUCAUGCCAAUGGCACUGCCCGGUAGCUAAAUGCGGAAGAGAUAAGUGCUGAAAGCAUCUAAGCACGAAACUUGCCCCGAGAUGAGUUCUCCCUGACUCCUUGAGAGUCCUGAAGGAACGUUGAAGACGACGACGUUGAUAGGCCGGGUGUGUAAGCGCAGCGAUGCGUUGAGCUAACCGGUACUAAUGAACCGUGAG